rnacentral:rRNA from 1 species
AUGGGGGGGUUAAAGAAUCAUCAACCCUGUGACAUACCUAAACGUUGCUUCGGCGGGAACAGACGGCCCCGUAACACGGGCCGCCCCCGCCAGAGGACCCCCUAACUCUGUUUCUAUAAUGUUUCUUCUGAGUAAAACAAGCAAAUAAAUUAAAACUUUCAACAACGGAUCUCUUGGCUCUGGCAUCGAUGAAGAACGCAGCGAAAUGCGAUAAGUAAUGUGAAUUGCAGAAUUCAGUGAAUCAUCGAAUCUUUGAACGCACAUUGCGCCCGCCAGUAUUCUGGCGGGCAUGCCUGUUCGAGCGUCAUUACAACCCUCAGGCCCCCGGGCCUGGCGUUGGGGAUCGGCGGAGCCCUCUACGGGCACACGCCAUCCCCCAAAUACAGUGGCGGUCCCGCCGCAGCUUCCAUUGCGUAGUAGCUAACACCUCGCAACUGGAGAGCGGCGCGGCCACGCCGUAAAACCCCCAACUUCUGAAUGUUGACCUCGAAUCAGGUAGGAAUACCCGCUGAACUUAAGCAUAUCAAUAACCGG